CCUGAAGCGUGAGCAGCACGGACCAGAGCCUGCACCGGCGGGAGCUGCAGCGCAGACAGGAUGGCGGACGUCCUGGACCUUCACGAGGCUGGGGGCGAAGACUUCGCCAUGGAUGAAGAUGGGGACGAGAGCAUCCACAAAUUGAAAGAAAAAGCAAAGAAACGGAAAGGCCGCGGCUUUGGUUACGAAGACGGGUCCCGAGCACGGAUGCGUGAAGAUUACGACAGCGUGGAGCAGGAUGGCGAUGAGCCUGGACCGCAACGC